rnacentral:rRNA from 1 species
CACGAACGCUGGCGGCAGGCUUAACACAUGCAAGUCGAACGCGUGUAGCAAUACACGAGUGGCGCACGGGUGAGUAACGCGUGGAUAUCUGCCUUUUGGUUCGGAAUAACCCCGGGAAACUGGGGCUAAUACCGGAUGGUUCCUUCGGGAUAAAGAUUUAUCGCCAAAAGAUAAGUCCGCGUACGAUUAGCUAGUUGGUGAGGUAAUGGCUCACCAAGGCGACGAUCGUUAGCUGGUCUGAGAGGACGAUCAGCCACACUGGGACUGAGACACGGCCCAGACUCCUACGGGAGGCAGCAGUGGGGAAUAUUGGACAAUGGGGGCAACCCUGAUCCAGCCAUGCCGCGUGAGUGAUGAAGGCCUUCGGGUUGUAAAGCUCUUUUGGCGGGGACGAUGAUGACGGUACCCGCAGAAUAAGCCCCGGCUAACUUCGUGCCAGCCGCCGCGGUAAAAC